rnacentral:rRNA from 1 species
UUUAUGGAGAGUUUGAUCCUGGCUCAGGAUGAACGCUGGCGGCGUGCCUAAUACAUGCAAGUCGAGCGAACGGACGAGAAGCUUGCUUCUCUGAUGUUAGCGGCGGACGGGUGAGUAACACGUGGAUAACCUACCUAUAAGACUGGGAUAACUUCGGGAAACCGGAGCUAAUACCGGAUAAUAUUUU